rnacentral:piRNA from 1 species
UAACCAUGUAACUAAUGCCUGGGGCUGC